rnacentral:tRNA from 1 species
GGUUUAGUGGCACAACGGUUAAGCACUCGGCUAUUAACCGAAAUGUUGGUGGUUCGAACCCACCAGCCA